rnacentral:rRNA from 1 species
CAGUAGCCGCGGGAAUACGUAGGGUGCAAGCGUUAAUCGGAACUACUGCGCGUAAAGCGUGCGCAGGCGGUUAUAUAAGUCAGAUGUGAAAUCCCCGGGCUCAACCUGGGAACUGCAUUUGAGACUGUAUGGCUAGAGUGUGUCAGAGGGGGGUAGAAUUCCACGUGUAGCAGUGAAAUGCGUAGAUAUGUGGAGGAAUACCGAUGGCGAAGGCAGCCCCCUGGGAUAACACUGACGCUCAUGCACGAAAGCGUGGGGAGCAAACAGGAUUAGAUACCCCGGUAGUCCCUGUCUCUUAUAU